rnacentral:rRNA from 1 species
UACGGGAUUCUCCCCUCUAUGACGCCCUGUUCAAGGAACUAAUGCUAGACCGUGCUCGAAGCUUCCUCUACGAAUUACAACUCGGACCGUGAGGCCGGAUUUCAAAUUUGAGCUGUUACCGCUUCACUCGCCGUUACUGAGGUAAUCCCUGUUGGUUUCUUUUCCUCCGCUUAGUGAUAUG